ACGCAGCACUGACCGUUGGGAUGUACGCAGGGACCCACACCCUCUUUCAUGCCUAUGACUGCUGGAAAAGGGGUCUCCGCACACAAAGCCAGACCCGAGCAAUGGCCAGCGAAAUCAUUCUGCAAUGCUUCUGAGGACUAGCAGCCAACCCUACAGCCACUUGCCAGAGGAAGAGACCAAAACUCAGGGCCACCGCCAACAAAUGAAGCCCCAAACUCAAUAGAACACAGACCAAAGAGCCAAGUGAGGUCACAGGAGAAUCCCAGGGCUCAGAGGAAAAAGGGGUUGCAAGGAAUCUCACAGACGCUCUCCACACUCUGCUCUCAGCACUCAGGAUCCUCUUCUGUCUCUCCAGUGCUGUGGUUACAGGUACACUCCACAGAGUCCAGCUGUACCUGCCUCAACACCCCAGCUACUCUGGACAGCUCCCCCUGACAAGAAGACUGACAGCGAGGAGGAACAAUAUUCACUGGAAGAAAAACUGGGGGAAAAGAAGCUACAUUUUUUUUAAGCUUUCCCAUGGAUCACACUUUCACACGUUAACAGCCUACUCUCUCAAAAGCUUUACACGCAGGAACCGGGGAUGUGGCUCAGCAGUAAGAGCAUUUGCAGCUCUUGGAUGACCCAGGUUCACUUUCCAGGGCCCAUGUGGUGGCGGGCGACCACCUAGACUCUAGUUCCAGAUCUGAUGCUCUCUUUUGACCUCAAGAUGCACACACAUACACAUAGG